UACGAAGGGGGCUAGCGUUGCUCGGAAUCACUGGGCGUAAAGCGCACGUAGGCGGCUCUUUAAGUCAGAGGUGAAAUCCUGGGGCUCAACCCCAGAACUGCCUUUGAUACUGAGGAGCUUGAGUCCGGGAGAGGUGAGUGGAACUGCGAGUGUAGAGGUGAAAUUCGUAGAUAUUCGCAAGAACACCAGUGGCGAAGGCGGCUCACUGGUCCGAUACUGACGCUGAGGUGCGAAAGCGUGGGGAGCAAACAGG
rnacentral:rRNA from 1 species